CACGGGCAAUUAUUUUGGCCAAAAUUCGCACGUUUUUUAACGUGGAUUGACACCGCACAAGACACAAACUCGUGUUUUACGGCGAUUAAGUCAUCAGAUUGCCAUCGGUGAUUUAUGGACGCUCCUGCAGCGUCCGGUGGAAAUUUUUCCCCCAAUUAAGCAGCGCCUAUUCCGGCUCUCAUCAAAUUCGGCUAUAAUGAGAGUUUCUAUUAAGGUUUGUGCUGGAAACUGGCAAUCACUCUAUAAAAAACUACCGUGGAUAAUCCUCUUCAAUCUCAUUACAUCACAUUUUCUUCUAAACACUUUCUUAUUGAGUCCGAGUCUAGCCUUGUUAUGAAACGUGAUUGCAGGCAUCUUUUUGCAGCGAUCAUGUUAUAACCUUGCCGAGUACUUUCACUCAAGGAUCAGAAAUGCCAAGUCGUUAGAAUUCAUCACGGGACUAUCUCGUAAUUGUUGCCCAAUGGAAUGCGUGUGUUUUUGAUCGGGUCAGGAGCAUUUCUUCCUAUUUUGCAAGGAUUUCCAAACGCAAACUUGAUCCAGAUUCCAGCACAGUUCGACGUUUUUAACACCUGUCGGGUGAAAGUCCCAUCGCUGACAUUUAGCUCGAAAUAUUGUUCACGGAGAUGAUUAAUGCCGACCAAGUCGUGAAGAAUAGCCCAUUUACAUAAGGUGGGCCCAUUUCCCUAUUCUUUCACUUUGAUGCGUUUUGUAACAGCUGGGCUAAUAUGGGCAUUACAACAUUGCGAUGCUGGCUAGUAAGGCACAGCCUCUAAUUACCCAACAUCUCGGAAUAUGGCAGUUAUGUCGUCUUCUUUUUUAAAAAAUUGUUACGAAAAUUUAUUGCCUGUGUGAGAUAACAUUGUGGAAAUCUCCACAAAGUCAUUAUCAUGGCAUUGCACCAUCGCAAUGCAAAAUAUUUUAAUUUCGACGCGCUUAAAAUAAACGAAAGUUUUUUGAGUAAAUCGUGGUUUUGUUGUUGGACAAGUUUUGUUGCUGAAGAGUGACGGAGGCUUGAGCAGAUGCGAUUUUCUCCGAUUGAUUGACCAACAAAGACAUUUGAAGAAAUUUGAUUGCGAGUGAGAUACUAAACGUACAAUGGCUCCAAUCUGAAGGCUGUCAUGAAUUGAUGAGAAGAGUUUUUUUUAAUUGGAUGAGAUGGAAGAAUGGUCUUGAAACCAAGACCGUUUCACAUGUUUUAAGUUCAAAAUGUGUUGCAAACUGUGAAAUACCGUUUUAUCAUAUCAAUUGUCUAAUAAAAACAAAAAGAGAACA